AUCUGCGAGUGGCCCCGUUUCGACGGAAUAGCAAACAUGGCGGUGCCGGCGAGCUUUUUCGUGUUGUUGGCGGCGAUCGCUCGGCGGCUCGGCAGCACCGUGGGCGCCGUGAGCGCCCGACGACGCGUUCGACAUGCCAGUCGAUGAAAGAGUUCGCCGUCACUUUCGCCCGAAGAAAGGAAGGUGCGGCGGUUGUGCGACGAAGUGGCCGAGGAAGGCGCGCGACGGCGCGACCGACUUCGCUGUCGGUGCAGCCUGUGGGUGUUGUGCGGCCUUCGGUUUUUCGCGAGUGGCAGCUUUCAAGCCUCGUUUGGAAGCGAGGAUACAUGCAAGCUGCGGUGAGCAGACUGUGUGCGAUGUUGUGGCGGAGGUAAUCGUGCACGCCGGGAUCCGUAACAAGUGGGUUCACUUCCCGUGGACGCCGGAUGAAAAGGCGGCCUUGAAUGUUUCCUACGGCUGCCGGCGUCAUCGGAUGCGUUGCCGUCAUCAUUGCACCGAAGGGUGACCAUCACAAGGCGGCAUUUUAUCCCCGCAAAGGACAUUAUGCCCACAUCGUCAUGCUAAUCUGCGACGCAGACAUCGGAAUCCUGCCGUGAACCACUGAGUCUGGGAUCAGACUACGACGCCCACGUCUGGCGGACAACGCGGCUGCGUGAGCGCAUCGAAGGGGCCCGGAUUGCCGCGGCCGUACCUUCUGGCUUCUAGGUGACAGAGGCUACAAACCAGGACCAUGGCUCCUGACACCUCUCCGAGGCUGUC